rnacentral:rRNA from 1 species
UACGGGGGGAGCAAGCGUUGUUCGGAUUUACUGGGCGUAAAGGGCGCGUAGGCGGCCACUGCAAGUCAGUUGUGAAAUCUCCGGGCUUAACCCGGAAAGGUCAACUGAUAGUGCAGGGCUAGAGUGCAGAAGGGGCAACUGGAAUUCUCGGUGUAGCGGUGAAAUGCGUAGAUAUCGAGAGGAACACCUGCGGCGAAGGCGGGUUGCUGGGCUGACACUGACGCUGAGGCGCGAAAGCCAGGGGAGCGAACGGG